rnacentral:lncRNA from 1 species
UUGUUUCUAUAUUUUUCUUUUUCUUUAAAAUUUUAUCUGUUUUCCUUAUAUUUAUAUGACGUGCAUAUAUCAUAUACACAUAUUAUAUUUUAAUAUUUUAUCAAUAUAUAAUUUUUAGCUUUGAAUACUAUUUUUCUACGUAUAGCACCGUCUUUUUGAAAAUUAAAAAUAUUAUACCCUCAGCCUCAAAGAGUGCGACUGUGCGAUGUUGUUUUCGUGGAAAUAACUGUGGUUCUGUUAAUUUAGAGUGUUAUCUGUUUUGUCCAAAAAAAAUAUUGUUUGUUGGAUCAAAUACAAGUUUAUAAUUUUGUCACGAAUUGUUUUAUAAGUUGCAACAAAAAAGGUGGCUACAAAUCUGUCUCAAGUUUCUGUACCAAUUUGUACACUACUAUAACCAUUUGUGAUAUACAGUUUGAUUACCGUUGUGAAUUAAAGUAUGUUACUAAAGUCAUGUGAAAAAAUGUUGACCAAACAAAAAAAAAA